rnacentral:rRNA from 1 species
GAUGAACGCUGGUGGCGUGCCUAAUACAUGCAAGUCGAGCGAACAGACGAGGAGCUUGCUCCUCUGACGUUAGCGGCGGACGGGUGAGUAACACGUGGAUAACCUACCUAUAAGACUGGGAUAACUUCGGGAAACCGGAGCUAAUACCGGAUAAUAUAUUGAACCGCAUGGUUCAAUAGUGAAAGACGGUUUUGCUGUCACUUAUAGAUGGAUCCGCGCCGCAUUAGCUAGUUGGUAAGGUAACGGCUUACCAAGGCGACGAUGCGUAGCCGACCUGAGAGGGUGAUCGGCCACACUGGAACUGAGACACGGUCCAGACUCCUACGGGAGGCAGCAGUAGGGAAUCUUCCGCAAUGGGCGAAAGCCUGACGGUGCAACGCCGCGUGAGUGAUGAAGGUCUUCGGAUCGUAAAACUCUGUUAUUAGGGAAGAACAAAUGUGUAAGUAACUAUGCACGUCUUGACGGUACCUAAUCAGAAAGCCACGGCUAACUACGUG